GUGCACGAGACACGCUGGCGGCGUGCCUAAUACAUGCAAGUCGAGCGGAUUUGUUCCUUCGGGGACAAGUUAGCGGCGGACGGGUGAGUAACACGUAGGUAACCUGCCUAUAAGAUCGGGAUAACUAUCGGAAACGAUAGCUAAGACCGGAUAACUGGUUUUCUCGCAUGAGAGAACUAUGAAACACGGAGCAAUCUGUGGCUUAUAGAUGGGCCUGCGGCGCAUUAGCUAGUUGGUAGGGUAAUGGCCUACCAAGGCGACGAUGCGUAGCCGACCUGAGAGGGUGAACGGCCACACUGGGACUGAGACACGGCCCAGACUCCUACGGGAGGCAGCAGUAGGGAAUCUUCCGCAAUGGACGCAAGUCUGACGGAGCAACGCCGCGUGAGUGAUGAAGGUUUUCGGAUCGUAAAGCUCUGUUGCCCUAGACGAACAGCAGGGAGAGUAACUGCUCUCUGUAUGACGGUAUAGGAGAAGAAAGCCCCGGCUAACUACGUG
rnacentral:rRNA from 1 species